UACAUGGAUACUUCGAUCGUUUUUUAUUUUUUAUUUUUUUUUUAUUUAUUUUUGCUCAUCAAGGGAUAAUUAUUCGACGAUCUCUUUCGUAUACACCGGUAAGUUGAGACGCAUGAGACGUCCGCGUGAGCCAGCACCAGGGGAGUGCUGUGGAAGCGGGUGUACCCGCUGCGUAUGGGAUAUUUACUACGAUGAAGUCGCCAGAUUUGAAGAGCUUAUAGCAGGCGGGGGGAUCGAAGAGGAUUGCACCCAAUCCUCAGAGGAGGAAGAGGUUGUUAAUUAUAUCGGUUCCGUUGUGGUGAAGUACAUUGAUCCACCAGCUUUGCCCACCACAGGCUCUCCAGGUGAGUGGGAGAGAGCCGAAAUGAAGGCGCGCGGUUUCUUUCCCAUUGACAGAAUCGAACUAGUGAGCUGCAGCACAUCCCUGUUUUCUCCAACUGAUCCGGGAAUCAGCGUCGUCAACCUCUUCACAUCCGCAAAAGGCAGGACAAUGCUACCAGGCGAUGUAGUGGAGGUUCUUGUGACUAACAGUCGCGGUACUCAGGACGCCGAUGACGUUGAGAGGCUGUGCAAGGCGCUUCGCCUGGAUCCGUAUGCGUGGUGCGAGCUGCAUCGCUCCCCGUUUGUGCCGGAAGACAACUUUCCCCCGUGGCUUCCGCUACAAAAGCCUCUGACACUUGGACAGCUUCUCUCUGCCUACGUCGAUAUAAGCAGUAGUAGCUACCUGUUGCAUCAGAGCUUUUUCGAAAGUCUUUUUCGAAUUUACAGCGACUCCAAACCUUCCUCAGCAUCUUCGACUUCAACCACCCCGUCACCCGAUCCAGAGAAGGUGCGACUUCUUGAGGCCUGCGCGUCCUCUGAAACAGGUCCCCAGCUGCUGCGUUCGCUGUCAAAAAGCAGUACACCGCUUUGCUACCCUUCUCUUGUCGACGUACUUGAGGUCUUUUCCUUCGUCCAAAUUCCACUUGACCGUCUCCUUGAGGUCAGUGGACCGCUCCAGACGCGCAGGUAUAGCCUGGCAAACUGGAUUCCUGCAACGCUUCCGCCAAGCCCACUUCAGCUGUGCAUGAGGGAGGUGUGCGCUCGACGCUCUGCAAAUUUACCUGCAGCUACUGCCGUUGGCGCGGACGCUCAGCGCGUUGCAGACAUGCUCAACAGAGCUGCUCAGGAUGCCUCCAGGGACCACAGCGACUUUUUCUUUGGACACACGUCCCACCCGUUGUGUUGUGCAGCGCGCUCUAUGACGAGGAGCGCAGCUGCCGCAGGUCAGAGAGGCAUGUACGUCAGCUUUUCUCUUUUUGGAAACUCUUUAUUUGCCCGGCAGCUUCAGGCUGGAUGCACAGCUCUGUGCAACCCUGCUCAAGCCAAGAGCUUGUGCAGUCAACUUUUUCUUAUCGGGUGUGGCACAGGGAUUGCUCCUUUGAUUGCGGCUGUCACGCAGCUGAUGCUUCGUCGCGCCUCCACAGCCGCCGGCAGUGCUCCGUUUCCAUGCUGGGUGUUCUACGGAGCGCGCACAAAGGCGGAACUUUUGUAUGAUGAAACCCUCCAGGAAGCACUGAGGACAGGAGCCAUUGCCAAGUACGAGUACGCGCUUUCCCGAGAGGAGGACAAUAAGAAGCAAGGCAGGUAUGUGACCGACCUUGUGAAGCGGAACAGGCUAAUGGUCACGGAUUCCCUGCAAAACGAGGGUCAGCUAUUUGUGUGUGGUCCGGCAAAGGCUCUUCUAUCUGUUCGGCAGCUGGUCAAGUGCGACCUGCUCGCCGAGCCAGACGAUGAUGACAGUGUGCAGGAGCAACGACUGUUGAUGCUAGAGGAUCGAGGGCGACUGAACUUCGAUAUAUGGAGCACGGGAAACAUAUUUGAGUGAUGCAUACGUUCCUAUCGCUGUGUAUGAUGGACUACAUGAGUGAACGGUU
rnacentral:misc_RNA from 1 species